AUUUAAAAAUUUAAUUUAAAUAAAUUUUAUUAAAAUAUUUUUUAGUUUUAUUAUUAAAAAAGAAAAAAUUGAAUUUUUUAUAGUUUAUAGUAUAGUGAUAGAAAAUUUAAAAAUAUUGAAAAUUUAAAUUUUAAAAAGAAUAAUUAAUUUUUAGUACCUUGUGUAUCAGGAUUUAUUAAAAAUAAAUUAUUUAUUUAAUUUUCUCGAUUUUAAAAGAGUUAAAAAAUUAUAUUUUUUAUUGUAUUAUAAAUAUUAAAAAUAAUUUUUUAGUAAUGAAAUGUUAUUCGUUUUUAAAUAUAUCUAGUUUUUUAAGAAAUAAAUUAAAUUUACAUUUUAAUAAAAAUUUUUUUUUUUUUAUAAAUAAAAUUUUAUUAUAAAUGAAUAGUUUAAGGGAUAAGCUUUAAAUUAAAUUAAUAUAAAAUAUUUAUUUAAAUUAAUAAAAGUAGAAUUAAAAAUUUUUAUCAAUUAUAAUUUGUUAUAAUUAAUAUUUUUUAUUAAAUUAUUUAUAUUAUUUUUAUUUUUUUUUAUUAAAAUUAUUUAUUUAAUUAUAAAAUAAAUGUAAUAAUGAUAAAAUUAGUAUAAUUAUAUGUAUAAAUAAAAUUAAAUAUUAAGGUUAUUUUAAGGAAUUCGGCAAAAUAAUUUUUCGCCUGUUUAUUAAAAACAUGUCUUUUUGAUAAUAAUUUAAAGUCUGGCCUGCCCAAUGAUUAAUUUAAUGGCCGCGGUAUUUUGACCGUGCAAAGGUAGCAUAAUCAUUAGUUUUUUGAUUAAAAACUUGUAUGAAUGGUUAAACGAAAAAAUUACUGUCUCAAUAUAAUUUAAUUAAAAUUUUAUUUUUGAGUUAAAAAGCUUAAAUUUUUUUAAAAGACGAGAAGACCCUAUAGAGUUUAAUAUUUUUAUAAAUUAAAAUUUUAGAAUUGAUAUUAUUUUUAAAAAUAUUUUAUUGGGGUGAUAAAUAUAUUAAAUAAACUUUAUUUAUUUUAAACCAUUAAUUAAUGAUUUUAUGAUCCAUUAUUUAUGAUUAAAAGAUUAAAUUACCUUAGGGAUAACAGCGUAAUUUUUUUAGAGAGUUCUUAUCGAAAAAAAAGAUUGCGACCUCGAUGUUGGAUUAAAAUUUAUUUUUGGUGUAGAAGCUAAAAAUCUUAAGUCUGUUCGACUUUUAAAAUUUUACAUGAUCUGAGUUUAAACCGGCGUGAGCCAGGUUGGUUUCUAUCUUUAAAAUUUUUAAAUAUUUUAGUACGAAAGGACCAAAUAUUUAUAAUAAUUAUUAAAAAUUGAAUAUUAUU
rnacentral:rRNA from 1 species